UGAAGGACAUGAAGCUUUGUUGCCCAAAAUGUGAAUCCGCCCCGUGAAAGAGAAUCUGCUGUUUCUCGUCUUAAUUCCUUGUCGGCGGCUUAGGCGACGGACAAAUCGUGGCGUUGAAUCCACCGCUUGUUGUUCACAAGAGAUCGGAGACAGGGCAAGGAUGUGCUACGAGGUGAAGUGUGGCAAGUGCGGGAAGACCACCUGGGGAGGCUGCGGCCGCCACGUCGCGUCCGUCCACCAGCGGAUCGCCGAGGGGCAGCACUGCAUGUGCCGGGACUGGCCGGGCGUGAAGCUCGCCCAGUCUUCCGGCGGUGGCGCCGUCGUCGAUGACAAAGCGGCAGACAAGAAUCCCUCCUCUUCGUCCACCUGCACCAUCCAUUGAUCCGCCCCUCGCUGUUGCCCCAAACGAUCGUUUGGAUUUGGUAUGCGGUUGGAUUCCAGAUGCAUAAAGCCUGCGUUGCUACUGUCGUCCUCAUCAUCCAUGGAUGAUGAGACUUGUGUGCUAAUUUACGUUAUGUAACUUUGGUUAUCUUUAUGUUGCCUUUGGUGUUGUUUAUUUGGCUUGCAAAAUUAGAUGUUCGAACUCUCUCGUUUGAUCA